GUAGGUGGCAAGCGUUGUACCGGAAUUAGUUGGGACGUAAAGCGCGCGCAGGGCGGUCCUUUAAGUCUGAUGUGAAAGCCCACGGCUACAACCGUGGAGGGUCAGUUAGGAAACGUCGGGGGACUUGAGUACAGAAGAGGAAAGCGGAAUUCCAAGUGUAGCGGUAGAAAUGCGUAGGGAUUUGGAGGAACACCAGUGGCGAAGGCGGCUUUCUGGUCUGUAACUGACGCUGAGGCGCGAAAGCGUGGGGAGCAAACAGGAUUAGAUACCCUGGUAGUCCACGCCGUAAACGAUGAGUGCUAAGUGUUAGGGGGUUUCCGCCCCUUAGUGCUGCAGCUAACGCAUUAAGCACUCCGCCUGGGGAGUACGGCCGCAAAGGCUG
rnacentral:rRNA from 1 species